rnacentral:misc_RNA from 1 species
GCGCCAGUCAUCCGAUAGACUGAGUCGCCCGGGUACCCGUGUUCCCAAUAAAGCCUUUUGCUGUUGC